rnacentral:rRNA from 1 species
GCCUACGGGUGGCAGCAGUGGGGAAUAUUGCACAAUGGGGGAAACCCUGAUGCAGCGACGCCGCGUGAGUGAAGAAGUAUUUCGGUAUGUAAAGCUCUGUCAGCAGGGAAGAAAAUGACGGUACCUGACCAAGAAGCCACGGCUAACUCUGUGCCAGCAGCCGCGGUAAUACAGGGGGUGCAAGCGUUGUCCGGAAUCAUUGGGCGUAAAGAGUUCGUAGGCGGCACGUAAAGUCUGGUGUUAAAGGCAGAGGCUCAACUUCUGUACGGCACUGGAUACUUGCGAGCUAGAAUGCGGUAGAGGUAAAGGGAAUUCCUGGUGUAGCGGUGAAAUGCUUAGAUAUCAGGAGGAACAUCGGUGGCGUAAGCGCUUUACUGGGCCGUAAUUGACGCUGAGGAACGAAAGCCAGGGUAGCAAAUGGGAUUAGAUACCCGAGUAGUC